UAGACGCUACGGACUUAAAAUCCGUCGACUUUAUAAGUCGUGAGGGUUCAAGUCCCUCUAUCCCCA
rnacentral:tRNA from 3 species